rnacentral:rRNA from 1 species
CCUANGGGUGGCAGCAGUGGGGAAUUUUGGACAAUGGGGGCAACCCUGAUCCAGCAACGCCGCGUGAAGGAUGAAGGUCUUCGGAUUGUAAACUUCUUUUGUAGGGGACGAAUUACCAUGUGAAUAAUAUGGAAUGACGGUACUCUACGAAUAAGCCACGGCUAACUUCGUGCCAGCAGCCGCGGUAAUACGAAGGUGGCAAGCGUUACUCGGAAUUACUAGGCGUAAAGCGCAGGUAGGUGGUUAGGUAAGUCCAUAAUGAAAUCUCCCGGCUUAACUGGGAGGGGUUUAUGGAUACUGCUUGACUUGAGUGUGGGAGAGGGUACUGGAAUUCCCGGUGUAGCGGUGAAAUGCGUAGAGAUCGGGAGGAACACCAAUGGCGAAAGCAGGUACCUGGCCCAAUACUGACGCUGAGCUGCGAAAGCUAGGGGAGCAAACAGGAUUAGAUACCCUGNUANUC